CCGUUGAAGGUUAAUAGUUUAUCAUGUAAUACUUAAGUUAUCAGUAUGUCAUGAUAUACUAAUGUUAACAGUAUGUCAUGGCAGCAUAAUAUCAUCAGUAUGUCAUGACAUACUUAGGUUAUCAGUAUGUCAUGUCCGUCUAAGGUUAACAGUAUGUCAUGUAAGCCUAAGGUUAACAGUAUGUCAUGUCUACAUGAUGUUAUCAGUACGUCGAGACAUACUUAGGUUAACAGUUUGUCAAUCCCCCGGACUCAUGCCAAACUUGGGUAAUCAAUAUGGCAUUGCAAUUUUAUGUCAAC
rnacentral:lncRNA from 1 species